GCUUCCGGGUGGCGGGCCGAAGGGUGUAAAGGGCUCCUGGCCCCCGGGUUUGGGGUGGGGUUCUCGGUUGGGGCCUUGCUCCCGCCUUCACUGUCUCCCGUAGGGCGGAGACCCAGGGAAAGCCGACCCUCGCGAGUUGCAGCCAGAGGCCCUCACGGCUCUGUCUCCUAGGAAUGCGCCGGGGCGGGGGGCUUUUGCUUGCCCAUUGCGGCCUUGGCGCCAUCGGAAUGGCCAGGAGACUUUAGGGAGUCAUUUACCACCGCGUCCCGGGAAGGGACUCAAACCUCAGUCCACAGUCCCAGACUCGUCUUUACAUUCCUAGGGAGAGUUUUUGUGUGUUUGUUUGUCUGUUUUUAACAUGUUUUAAGUUUUGUCGGAUUUUGGCAAAGAUAGGUUUGAUUUACCAAAACUGGAGAACAGAGAAGGCAGGCGGUAAUUUUGAAAGCGUGAGGGGGAACCUUAUUCUCCCAUUCACUGUUGUAUUGCGAUCGUUUUCUUUAGUCUCGAAUAUUUUGGGGGCAACUUUUGUGCCAGUCACUAGUUAUGCCAGUCAACAUAAGGAGCAUUGAUUCAUUUUCCCAAAAAAAUGAAUCAGUUUGUCAUUACUCCCUCGCCCACAAGUUCAAUGACAUUCUAAUACAUUGGUUAUGAAUUAUAUCAACCACCUUAUUCGAGACGCCUCAGUCAAGACAUCUCUUGAUUGCAAGGCAUCCUUGCUUGCUUCACUUUUCGUCACACAUAAUAUACAAAAACUCAAAAUAUUACAUCUUUCUCCCUUAAUCA
rnacentral:lncRNA from 10 species